UACGUAGGGUGCAAGCGUUGUCCGGAAUUAUUGGGCGUAAAGAGCUCGUAGGCGGUUUGUCGCGUCUGCUGUGAAAACUCGGGGCUUAACUCCGGGCCUGCAGUGGGUACGGGCAGACUAGAGUGCGGUAGGGGAGACUGGAAUUCCUGGUGUAGCGGUGAAAUGCGCAGAUAUCAGGAGGAAUACCGAUGGCGAAGGCAGGUCUCUGGGCUGAUACUGACGCUCAUGCACGAAAGCGUGGGGAGCAAACAGG
rnacentral:rRNA from 1 species